UUUAUCAAUUCGAUUAAAGGGCAUUCGACUAGUCUUUCCAUUACAAUUUUGUGAACGAAAUUUUUUUAGUUUUAAAAGUGACUGUGACAAGACACUUCAAAGAAACUGCUAUAUUUAAAAACGAAAUAACGUAUUUCAAUAUGUUGAUCCAAUUUAGUGUCGGCCUGUUUUUUUAUUUAUCAAUAUCAAUAGUUCAAACUUCCCCUAUCAACAUCGCCGAGAAUUCAUAUGACUCAUUAUUGCCAGACGUACUACUUGCCAAGAUCACCAACAAUUCUGAAUACUCGGUCAUACCUGCCAACAUCACCUGCCUUACUCCAAGACAAAAGGAAUAUUACGUAGGUCUUCAGCUGCUUGCUCAUCUACUUUUAAAUUUUCAUGAGAAAACGUUGGAUAAUAAAGAAGAGGGUGUGACAAGAAAGUGUGCGAUUGAUGGUCCUUGUGGUAUAUUAACGACGAAAAGUAUUCAGCCCCUGCCCGAGGAUGAUGAAGAUGAUGUCGGUUAUUCUAUUAAUCCUGUUGACAAUGCUACAAGGUGUAUUUGUCAAAAGCCCCAGCGAACUUGCUCAAAUGGUCCAUUGACAAAAUUGGAGGAUGGAAGUGAAGGUUUCAUUUUCUAUUGCCGUAAUAAAAAUUGCGAAGAUCACACAACGUGGUUGAAAAAGAGAUGGGGUGAUCUGCAGAAGAAAAACAGCCUUAUACAUAAUUUUACACAGGUAUAAGUGAAUUAAUUUUACGUUUUUUGUAUGGUACAUCAGCCAGAGACCAUUCGAACUGAUGAAUAAAAGAGGAAUGUGGAUCGAAAAAAUACCGACUGAAAAUUUUUUUCACGAUAAAACAUUGCCAAAUUGGCUGUCCGAGUCCUCUCUGAAAAAAUUUUGUAUGAAACGCGAUUUAUUGGGAAAAAAUCAAUAAUAAUUAUGUACUUUAUUGUUCCUAAAAAAUUUUUAAAAGAAACUUUUCCACAUAUAAAAUAAUUUUUUGAAAAAGCGAGCAUUCUUAGAAAAAUUAUUUGAUAAGGAAAAUUUAUAUGUAUCGAUCCAAGCCAAGCGAAUAGCGAGAGAGCAAAAUUUUUGAGAAAUUUUUGAAAUUUUUCAGUCGGUGAUUUUAUAAUUCAGUCGAAAUUUUAUUUAAAGUUUUGAGUUAACUUAAGCAGUUUGUUGCCGCCCCCCCCUUCUUCAAGGUGGCUCUGAACCUAGCUGAUACUUUCAUUGCAUAUUUUCUAGAAUUAGCAAUAUUUUUACAAUUAUGCGUAGGUACUUGGGUACUAUUUUGUGGAAAAUAUACUUUGUAUUAUUAGA